rnacentral:rRNA from 1 species
GAUGAACGCUAGCUACAGGCUUAACACAUGCAAGUCGAGGGGCAGCAUGGUCUUAGCUUGCUAAGGCCGAUGGCGACCGGCGCACGGGCGAGUAACACGUAUCCAACCUGCCGUCUACUCUUGGACAGCCUUCUGAAAGGAAGAUUAAUACAAGAUGGCAUCAUGAGUCCGCAUGUUCACAUGAUUAAAGGUAUUCCGGUAGACGAUGGGGAUGCGUUCCAUUAGAUAGUAGGCGGGGUAACGGCCCACCUAGUCUUCGAUGGAUAGGGGUUCUGAGAGGAAGGUCCCCCACAUUGGAACUGAGACACGGUCCAAACUCCUACGGGAGGCAGCAGUGAGGAAUAUUGGUCAAUGGGCGCAGGCCUGAACCAGCCAAGUAGCGUGAAGGAUGACUGCCCUAUGGGUGGUAAACUUCUUUUAUAAAGGAAUAAAGUCGGGUAUGUAUACCCGUUUGCAUGUACUUUAUGAAUAAGGAUCGGCUAACUCCGUG